UCGCCUCCCAUCCCAGCCACCUAACCCAGUAACCGAAAAAGGCCGAAAUGCGGAGAUUGUCAGCCCCAGAUUCAAAUCAGCGGCAGCCAUGGCUGGUAGGGACGAGGAGGCCGCCGCCCUUGUUGUGGAAGACACGCCUGUUGGAGAGUCUAAGCACAAGAAACUAUCUGAUUCGCUCUUCAAGUCUCUCAAUUCCAGUUCACGAAGGAGAGGUAGAGCUCAGAGGAGGAGCCCCGUAUCAAUUCCUCUACCCGUAUUAGACCUUGGUGAAGAAUAACCCGCUAAAGAAGGUAUUGAUUUUGUCUUCAUUUCUUGAGAUUUUGUUUGAUUUCUGAGAGAGUCAUAAGGUAACGAAAACGAUUUCUUUUGGGAUAAAUUAGUAUUUGAAUAGAUAAGCAGAAACAGAAGAGAAAAGAAAACGAAAGAGCAGAAGAAAAACCUGCUGAAGAAGGUAUUGAUUUCGUCUUCAUUUCUUGAGAUUUUCUUUGAAUUCUGAGAAAGUCCUAAGGUAAAGAAAACGAUUUCUUUUGGGAUACAUUAUUAUUUGAAUAGAGAAAGAGAAACAGAAUGUAGAAUUGAAGAAAAGAAAAUUAAAAGAUUCAGUUUCUUUUGCAAUUACAGUUAGUGUAAUUUAAUUUUGUUACAGAACUUUCACAUCCAGUAGCAAUCAUAACUAUUUUCAGUAUUUGUUGUUUCUUUUGCAGGAAAACCAAAAUAAAUAACGAUCUGUUAUACAGUUUUUUAUUGAUGUAGCUCGAUGUCCUGUCUAUUGAUUAUACAUCCUAUUGCUGCCAUUUUAAGUUACCCUUUGAUGGUUUUUUUUUUGCUUUUAUGGAUAUCACAUAACGCAGCAGUUCUAGUAAAUAUAAUUUAUAUGUUGUUUAAGAACUUUCACAUGCUGCAGCCACCAUAACAAUUCAGUAUCAAAUAAAUUAUCAUUUUGUCACACUAAUUACGUUUCUAGUCACUGCAACUUUUUUGCAUUUACUUUGGCAAGGAAAAUCUGUUUCAUCUUCUAUUAACCAGGGAGCAAAUUUUAGAGACUUACCUGGAGUUCGUGUUCAUCCAGAUAAUUAAGUUGAAUGAGAUCCUGAUGUUGAGUGGACAUAUUUGGAUUCUGGAAAGCCUUCGGUCCCUAACUAUGCAAUGACCUCUGUGGAUGGAACAUCAUCUAAGUGAUUUCUAAUUUUACAUGUAAUGUUUCAGUUUAAUUAUGUAGCAGAUUCUGACAAGCCUUACUAAACUCGUGGACACAGCUGGGUCCAAGUGGGACAAUUGAAGAUUGUUGGAAUCAUUAGGUACUGGAGACUUUCCCAAUGUAGAAUUCGUAAAGGUACAUUCUAAAUUUGAGGGCUCUUCUAUCCUUGAAUCCUUAAUCGUCCCUUUGUUACAUUUUCUAUUGCUUUCUGAAUUUGCCACCCUCUCAGAAGAUUCUGUCACAUGAUGGUUUGAUGGUUCUCCUGGUACUGCUAAAUCAUUCUCAAGUGAACUGUCUCUGUACACAAAUAACCAAAGGUGAAAGGUUAUCUGAGGUAUAGUUCUUUGCAUUAUCAAUGUUUUUUUGCUCAGUGGUAAGGUUGGUUGACUCAAGACCUUUUGAGCCAUUGGUAGUGAUCCUCUCAGACAAACUUUCAGAACAAUCACGUAUAUUUUCAAGAUUAUGAUCUCUUCUGUCAUUUUCAUUUUUGUAUUUAUUUUGAGUUGCACUUGACACAGAAUUUUCCAAGCCAGUAGCUGCUGCAACUUUGCAACAAAUGAAGAGGAAGGAAGGGCAAAAUGAAGAAAGCACCAAUUCCAGCUGUAAUUCAAUCAGCGGAAGCAAUGGAUCAGUUUGCAGAAUCAGCAAAUCAAACCAAUUUAAUUAUCUUUUUAAUAAAGCAGAUCAUAAGGCAAGAACCAAGGGAGAACAGGAGGCUGAAAUGAUACAGAAACUGAAGGAAGAACAGAAGGUUGAAAUAGUGCAGAAACUGAAGAUUGAGUAGUUUAAAAGAAGAAGAAGAACGAAGGUUCAGGCAUCCAAAAAAAAAGAGAAUGAAGUCUUGGGUGGGAAUUAGGUGGCCUUUGGCCUAGGAUGGGGAACUUGGUUCUGUAUCAAGUUUAUGUUUUCUAAGCAUUCGACAAUAAAAUCUCUUGUUGUAAA